GAUGAACGCUGGCGGCGUGCUUAACACAUGCAAGUCGAACGAACCUUCGGGUGAGUGGCGGACGGGUGAGUAACGCGUGGGAAUCUGCCCUCAGGAGGGGGAUAACGGCUGGAAACGGCCGCUAAUACCCCAUAUGCCGAGAGGUGAAAUGAAUUUCGCCUGAGGAUGAGCCCGCGUCUGAUUAGCUAGUUGGUGUGGUAAUGGCGCACCAAGGCUUCGAUCAGUAGCUGGUCUGAGAGGAUGAUCAGCCACACUGGGACUGAGACACGGCCCAGACUCCUACGGGAGGCAGCAGUGGGGAAUUUUCCGCAAUGGGCGAAAGCCUGACGGAGCAACGCCGCGUGAGGGAUGAAGGCCUCUGGGCUGUAAACCUCUUUUCUCAAGGAAGAAGAACUGACGGUACUUGAGGAAUAAGCCACGGCUAAUUCCGUGCCAGCAGCCGCGGUAAUACGGGAGUGGCAAGCGUUAUCCGGAAUUAUUGGGCGUAAAGCGUCCGCAGGCGGCCUUGUAAGUCUGUCGUUAAAGCGUGGAGCUUAACUCCAUUUGAGCGAUGGAAACUGU
rnacentral:rRNA from 1 species